AGAAUCAACGCUGGCGGCGUGCCUAACACAUGCAAGUCGCACGAGAAAGGGACUUCGGUCCUGAGUACAGUGGCGCACGGGUGAGUAACACGUGAAUAAUCUACCUCCGAGUGGGGAAUAACUGAGAGAAAUCUUAGCUAAUACCGCAUAACACUUACGAGUCAAAGCAGCAAUGCGCUUGGAGAGGAGUUCGCGGCAGAUUAGUUAGUUGGCGGGGUAAUGGCCCACCAAGACGAUGAUCUGUAUCCGGCCUGAGAGGGCGCACGGACACACUGGAACUGAAACACGGUCCAGACUCCUACGGGAGGCAGCAGUGGGGAAUUUUGCGCAAUGGGGGAAACCCUGACGCAGCAACGCCGCGUGGAGGAUGAAUAUCUUGGUAUGUAAACUCCUUUCGAUGGGGAAGAUAAUGACGGUACCAUAGAAGAAGCCCGGCUAACUUCGUGCCAGCAGCCGC
rnacentral:rRNA from 1 species